rnacentral:rRNA from 1 species
GACGAACGCUGGCGGCGUGCCUAAUACAUGCAAGUCGAGCGGAAUGAAGAAGAAGCUUGCUUCUUCUGAUUUUAGCGGCGGACGGGUGAGUAACACGUGGGCAACCUACCUUGUAGAUUGGGAUAACUCCGGGAAACCGGGGCUAAUACCGAAUAAUCCAUUCUGCUUCAUGGCGAGAUGUUGAAAGACGGUUUCGGCUGUCACUACAAGAUGGGCCCGCGGCGCAUUAGCUAGUUGGUAGGGUAAUGGCCUACCAAGGCGACGAUGCGUAGCCGACCUGAGAGGGUGAUCGGCCAUACUGGGACUGAGACACGGCCCAGACUCCUACGGGAGGCAGCAGUAGGGAAUCUUCCACAAUGGACGAAAGUCUGAUGGAGCAACGCCGCGUGAGUGAAGAAGGUUUUCGGAUCGUAAAACUCUGUUGUAAGGGAAGAACACGUACGAGAGUAACUGCUCGUACCUUGACGGUACCUUAUUAGAAAGCCACGGCUAACUCCGUG